rnacentral:rRNA from 1 species
AGCACGGGAGCAAUCCUGGUGGCGAGUGGCGAACGGGUGAGUAAUAUAUCGGAACGUGCCCAGUCGUGGGGGAUAACGCAGCGAAAGCUGUGCUAAUACCGCAUACGAUCUAUGGAUGAAAGCGGGGGAUCGCAAGACCUCGCACGAUUGGAGCGGCCGAUAUCAGAUUAGCUAGUUGGUGGGGUAAAGGCCCACCAAGGCGACGAUCUGUAGCUGGUCUGAGAGGACGACCAGCCACACUGGAACUGAGACACGGUCCAGACUCCUACGGGAGGCAGCAGUGGGGAAUUUUGGACAAUGGGCGCAAGCCUGAUCCAGCAAUGCCGCGUGUAGGACGAAGGCCUUCGGGUUGUAAACUGCUUUUGUACGGAACGAAAAGGUCUGCCCUAAUACGGCGGGCUCAUGACGGUACCGUAAGAAUAAGCACCGGCUAACUACGUGCCAGCAGCCGCGGUAAUACGUAGGGUGCAAGCGUUAAUCGGAAUUACUGGGCGUAAAGCGUGCGCAGGCGGUUUUGUAAGACAGAUGUGAAAUCCCCGGGCUCAACCUGGGACCUGCAUUUGUGACUGCAAAGCUAGAGUACGGCAGAGGGGGAUGGAAUUCCGCGUGUAGCAGUGAAAUGCGUAGAUAUGCGGAGGAACACCGAUGGCGAAGGCAAUCCCCUGGGCCUGUACUGACGCUCAUGCACGAAAGCGUGGGGAGCAAACAGGAUUAGAUACCCUGGUAGUCCACGCCCUAAACGAUGUCAACUGGUUGUUGGGUCUUCACUGACUCAGUAACGAAGC